rnacentral:misc_RNA from 1 species
AACGUAGGAGGCGAGCGUUAUCCGGAAUUAUUGGGCGUAAAGCGCAUGCAGGUGGUAGCGCAAGUCGGAUGUGAAAGCUCCUGGCUCAACCAGGAGAGGCCAUUCGAAACUGUGCAACUAGAGGGUGGUAGAGGCGAGUGGAAUUCCCGGUGUAGUGGUGAAAUGCGUAGAUAUCGGGAGGAACACCAGUGGCGAAGGCGGCUCGCUGGGCCACACCUGACACUAAGAUGCGAAAGCCAGGGGAGAGAACGGG